AGAGCUUGCUCUCGGGUGACGAGCGGCGGACGGGUGAGUAAUGUCUGGGAAACUGCCUGAUGGAGGGGGAUAACUACUGGAAACGGUAGCUAAUACCGCAUAAUGUCGCAAGACCAAAGUGGGGGACCUUCGGGCCUCAUGCCAUCAGAUGUGCCCAGAUGGGAUUAGCUAGUAGGUGGGGUAACGGCUCACCUAGGCGACGAUCCCUAGCUGGUCUGAGAGGAUGACCAGCCACACUGGAACUGAGACACGGUCCAGACUCCUACGGGAGGCAGCAGUGGGGAAUAUUGCACAAUGGGCGCAAGCCUGAUGCAGCCAUGCCGCGUGUGUGAAGAAGGCCUUCGGGUUGUAAAGCACUUUCAGCGGGGAGGAAGGCGAUAAGGUUAAUAACCUUGUCGAUUGACGUUACCCGCAGAAGAAGCACCGGCUAACUCCGUGCCAGCAGCCGCGGUAAUACGGAGGGUGCAAGCGUUAAUCGGAAUUACUGGGCGUAAAGCGCACGCAGGCGGUCUGUCAAGUCGGAUGUGAAAUCCCCGGGCUCAACCUGGGAACUGCAUUCGAAACUGGCAGGCUAGAGUCUUGUAGAGGGGGGUAGAAUUCCAGGUGUAGCGGUGAAAUGCGUAGAGAUCUGGAGGAAUACCGGUGGCGAAGGCGGCCCCCUGGACAAAGACUGACGCUCAGGUGCGAAAGCGUGGGGAGCAAACAGGAUUAGAUACCCUGGUAGUCCACGCCGUAAACGAUGUCGAUUUGGAGGUUGUGCCCUUGAGGCGUGGCUUCCGGAGCUAACGCGUUAAAUCGACCGCCUGGGGAGUACGGCCGCAAGGUUAAAACUCAAAUGAAUUGACGGGGGCCCGCACAAGCGGUGGAGCAUGUGGUUUAAUUCGAUGCAACGCGAAGAACCUUACCUGGUCUUGACAUCCACAGAACUUUCCAGAGAUGGAUUGGUGCCUUCGGGAACUGUGAGACAGGUGCUGCAUGGCUGUCGUCAGCUCGUGUUGUGAAAUGUUGGGUUAAGUCCCGCAACGAGCGCAACCCUUAUCCUUUGUUGCCAGCGGUUAGGCCGGGAACUCAAAGGAGACUGCCAGUGAUAA
rnacentral:rRNA from 1 species